GAAUCGUAUUUCUCAAGCGGUUUUUCUGAGAAUCGUCUUUCUCAGGCGGGUUUUCGGAGAAUCGUCUUCCUCAAAUUCAUGGUUUCUCUGGUGUUGUUCCUCUACUCACCUUUACAGUCGUGUUUGUGCAAAAUGCUUGGAUUUUUUCAAGCCCUAAGUCAGAAUCCAAGCUACCCCUUUUGUUGGCCUCUCUUCUCUCCGCCGUAUCUCUCUCUUCGUCCUCGAGAGAAGCUCUCAUUGGAACCUCUCCGUGACUGGUUCGGAACUCCGACCACCCUAAAAAAUAAGAAACUGAUUUAUACUUGAGAAAGCUUGAAGAAUUGGACAAACAACUUGAUAAACUUCAAACCAAGAAGGUUCAAGACCAUCUGUGCACACUAAAAUUACUUUAUUUAGUUCUUUGUUUAGGUGAUUUUGAAGGAUCUAAUAAUAUAAGUAAUGCACAUCUGAGCUUAUAGGGGGUUAAAAUACAGAGAAUGUAGAGGUAAGUGUUCUACGUUUUUAGUUUUCCAGUAUGUGUAAUUUAUUUUCCCUUUUGGUUGAUCAUGUUUUCCCUUAUUGUAUUGCCUGCUACAAGACCUUGAUGUCUGCACUUGCAACACAACUGUCAAUGGUCUCUGUACAUUGAAAAACAUAACCUAAAAUGUGGUAAUGCACUAAUGAAUGACUUUUCCAUGUCAGGAAUGCUUAAAGAUGGUAAUGUGCUACUACUUAAAUGGAGUUUUUAUCUAUUAGUGCGCUGGUUACUACCUUUUCUAUAAGAAUCUUUAUCAAUUACCUUCUUGAGUCGCUGCAGGAAUUUUGGUUAAGCUGAGUUACGUAGUGGCUGGCAAUUGCUCUCUAAGGUAAAAUAGAAUAAAACGAAAGGACAAGUUGAAGAUGUUAACUAGGCGCAACUGGGUGCUAGAAAGAUAAAGAGCUAUAGACACAUCUCGGGAAGAACAUUGAGCCAUAGCAAAUGGAUAGAUUGAGCGUCAGCUUGCUAAGUUAAAGAGGAAUCUUUUAGCAAGAAAGAAAUAGCAAAAGUUGAGAAAUGGUUGGUUGCAUGUGAUCAAGAGGGCUGGCUUGAGUAUCACAGGGAAUAAAUUGUAAUUGGAUAAAGGCUUUGCUGAGAAGUGAAAAGCGAGAAGCUGAGCUAGGCUGCAAGAAUUAGAACUUUAGAAGGAGAAAGCUUUUGUGCGAAGCAGGGCCAAUUGAGCUACCGUCGAUGGAGACGAUGAUGACAACAAUGCUAGAGAGUGCUGAUUCUGAGGAUGCCAAACUCUCCCAUCCGAGUUUGGAUCUAAAAAGCAUCACCAGAGCCAAAGAGGGUUGAAACCUCACUGAGAUUAAAAUCCCUAACAACCAUUAGAUCAUCAUUCAACGGUCGUGCCAAAAGAAAAUGAUAAGGAAGAAAUGCUUUCAUUUGAGUGCAAAAAAGAACAAUAAAACAUUGCCUAUUCUAUUGUGUGUUUAUUAUUUAGUUAAUUCUAUAUAUUUAUCCUUAUUUAACUAAAAAUAAAUUUAAAAAUCCUAAAGAAAAGUCACAUGCGCACGUGUAGUUUUUAACUAGUAUUGUGCAAACAAG